rnacentral:rRNA from 1 species
GACGAACGCUGGCGGCGCGCUUAACACAUGCAAGUCGAACGGAAAGGCCUGCUUUCCCUUGUGGUUUGCGGGUACUCGAGUGGCGAACGGGUGAGUAACACGUGAGUGAUCUGCACCCAACUUGGGUAUAAGCCUGGGAAACUGGGUCGAAUUACCGAUAGGACUGCAGGGUGGUGUCUGUGGUGGAAAACGAUUUUCUAGUGGUUGGGGAUGAGCUCGCGGCCUAUCAGCUUGUUGGGGGGGUAAUGUCCUACCAAGGCGGCGACGGGUAGCCGGACGGAGAGCGUGGACGGCCACACUGGGACUCGGUUACGGCCCAGACUCGUACGGGAGGCAGGAGUUGUGACUAUUGGGGCAUGGGCCGGAGCGUGAUGCAGCGCCGGCGCGUUGAGGAUCAUGGCCUUCUGGUUGUCAGUUCCUUUCGACCGCGAAGAGGGCAACUGGUUAUGCGCGUGGUGACGGUAGCGGUAGAAGAAGCACCGGCUAACUACGUG